AUUGAACGCUGGCGGCAGGCCUAACACAUGCAAGUCGAGCGGAUGAAGGGAGCUUGCUCCUGGAUUCAGCGGCGGACGGGUGAGUAAUGCCUAGGAAUCUGCCUGGUAGUGGGGGAUAACGUCCGGAAACGGGCGCUAAUACCGCAUACGUCCUGAGGGAGAAAGUGGGGGAUCUUCGGACCUCACGCUAUCAGAUGAGCCUAGGUCGGAUUAGCUAGUUGGUGGGGUAAAGGCCUACCAAGGCGACGAUCCGUAACUGGUCUGAGAGGAUGAUCAGUCACACUGGAACUGAGACACGGUCCAGACUCCUACGGGAGGCAGCAGUGGGGAAUAUUGCACAAUGGGCGAAAGCCUGAUCCAGCCAUGCCGCGUGUGUGAAGAAGGUCUUCGGACUGUAAAGCACUUUAAGUUGGGAGGAAGGGCAGUAAGUUAAUACCUUGCUGUUUUGACGUUACCAACAGAAUAAGCACCGGCUAACUUCGUG
rnacentral:rRNA from 1 species